GUCUAGAGUAAACUGUAAUCUACAACGAACACUGGGUCUCUCUACUGUCUAGAGAAACUGUAAUCUACACUGGGUCUAUAUACUGUCUAUAGAAACUGUAAUCUACAACUGUGGUCUAUACUGUCUAUAGAAACUGUAAUCUACACGACACUGGGUUUAUCUACUGUCUAUAGAAACUGUAAUCUACACUGGGUCUAUCUACUGUCUAUAGAAACUGUAAUCUACACUGGGUCUAUCUACUGUCUAUAGAAACUGUAUCUACACUGGGUCUAUCUACUGUCUAUAGAAACUGUGAUCAACACUACACUGGUCUAUCUACUGUCUAUAGAAACUGUGAUCAAACCACUACACUGGGUUCUAUCUAUCUGUCUAUAGAAACUGUAAUCACACUGGGUUAUCUACUGUCUUAUAGAAACUGUGAUCAACACUGGGUCUAUCUACUGUCUAUAGAAAGGUGAUCAACCUGGUUCUAUCUAACGGUUAUAGAGCUAACUGUGAUCAACACUGGCCCGUGAAGAGUGGAGGUAAGGUUCAAAGUAUCUUAUCCACAGUAAAACGAGUCCUAAAUCGACAACCGAAAGGCCGCUCCACAAGGAAGAAGCUACUGCU
ensembl:lncRNA